GAAAUGCGAUAAGUAAUGUGAAUUGCAGAAUUCCGUGAAUCAUUAAAUCUUUGAACGCACAUUGCGCUUGUCUGGUUUUCCAGCGAGCAUGUCUGUUUGAGAAUCAGUUUAACUUAUCAACCUAAAUUUUAUCAGUAAAAUGAAAUGAUUUAGGAUGGAAUUGGGACCUGUUCUAAAUUUUUUUUAGAAGGACCUUAAAUUAAACUUGGCCUAAAAUCAAAGUUUUGUUACUAUUCGAAAGGCAUGACCCAAGAUUAAGACUUUUAUUAGUCCUAAUUUGAUUGCUUAUUAGGAUCUUAACUAAUACGGACUUUGAUUAAAGAUCAACCCCUAAAAUACGAAGUUUUAAGUAUGCACAAUUCUUUAAAUUUCAAGACUUUGAUCUCAAAUCAGACAAGAC
rnacentral:misc_RNA from 1 species